rnacentral:tRNA from 1 species
ACCUGGCUAGCUCAGUUGGUGGAGCAUGUGACUAUUGAUCUUGGGGUUGUAGGUUCAAGCCCCAUGUUGGGUG